GACUUUACGCAUUGGCGGUACCGUAGCCAGUGAAGUUUAUCUGAGGUGAGUUAUUGUUGGUUGAAAACUACUCCCAAUACCCCUCGUCGAUGGCGUGAAAUAUCGUUGUUGGAUGCUAUUUUUAUAGGCCAUCUGUGG
rnacentral:snRNA from 1 species